UGUGUGACACAUGUGCUCAUGGAUUAUUGUCCGAAGCAAGACAUGUGACCAAGCCUAACAUCAACUGGGUGAAGAGCUAUAUGUUCCUUUCUCAAGAGGCACUACAAGUGACAUGCCACUGGGCAGUUUAGCAAAAGCUGGAGGUGCCUUGACAUUUGCAGUACACUGAAACAGUGGCUGGCUUGAAAAAUCCCAAAACGAUUUUCUGCAGGAGAGCCCUUUUGACUAAU
rnacentral:lncRNA from 1 species